UCCCUGGUGGCUCAGAUGGUAAAGAAUCUGCCUGCAAUGCAGGAGACUCAGGUUUGAUCCCUGGGUUGGGAA
rnacentral:tRNA from 1 species